GGCCCAUUAGCUCAGUUGGUUAGAGCGUCAUGCUAAUAACACGAAGGUCGUAGGGUCGAGACCUGCAUGGGCCA
rnacentral:tRNA from 1 species